GGGCAAAUGCAUCCAGAUCGCUCGUUUCCACCGCGACAGUAAAAGGAUGCCCCCGCUUUUCACCAGGACCGUUCGAUGCGGUCAUUUUUUGUUUACCCGUGGCUUCUCCUUCACAGACAAUGACAUCUGGGCCCAUUUUCGUGCGGGACCGGUGGCCAGAGGCAGCUGCAGGCGCUCAUCGUUGUCGCUCGUUUUAGUGGUUGUUUGCUGGAGGCGUGAAAACCCUAGAUCGGCAUUGGCUCUCCUCCCACAAAUCCCUGUCUGGUGUCUGCUCUCUCGCCUCCUCUCACCUCCUCUCUCCCGCCCGUCGACUCCACCAGCCGCCGCGUCGCCGCCGUCGACUUUUCGCGCCGCCAGCGGACGGCGACCCCGAGCAGCCGCCGUCGCGCCUCAGCAGCUCUUGCCUUGCAUCGGGAGGAGCUGGGCCGAGGACCUCGGCCGUGCCAUGCGCUCGAGGGCGCCGCUGCGAAGAGCGCCAGGAAGCGCCGGCCGCCGCCAGUCGCGUUCGACGACGCCGUCGCAGAGGAGGCGGGUGAUGUGCACAUGAGUGGGGGAUGGAGGAGGCGCAGGGGGUGCAGAGGAGGUGCGGGACAGAGGUGGCUGGAGACCGAGGGUGGCACGAGCCGGUGGCAACUCGGGAUCAAUCGUGGGCAUCACCGAGAUUCGUCCAGGUUUGCAUCUCCUUCCCCUUUCUAUCUCUUCCUCUCUGUCUCCCUCUCUUUGAUUUGGCUCUUUUUUCUCCUGGCUGCAAGUAACGGAGGAGGAGGAGAUGAUGUGAGUGGAGGAGCCUGCUCGUUAUGGCCGUUCUGAAAGCUAUCCUUUUCUCCCUAUAUCUUCCUCCAUCGCCGUCGCCGCCCACCAUAUUCAACCAGGCUGGCAUCCUUCUCUCCCUCCUAGGCCGCUGACGAAUCAAAGCACGUUGUGGGGUGGACAAGCUCGGCUCAAUCCUCUCCUCCUAGCCACCGAGCAAUCCAAGGACGUUGUGCAGUGGAGGAGCAAUCCAAGGACCAUGGCGGCGCAGAGGAGGAUCUCAGGGCGCCCUUCUCCCUAACCCCCGCCCCCCGAGAUGUUCUAUGGUGCCGGCGGCAGCGCGCUCGCCGCUGCGCGCGGUGAUGAAGAGGACAGAGAGGCGGGAGCCGGAUGGACGCAUCUUUGCCGGAAGCUUACCUGCAGCGCGAGUGGUUGCCGUCGCCCAACAGUUCUUUUCGACGACGAUGACGGCGUCGACGCAACAGGUGGUGGAGCGGUACAUCUUGAUUGAGGCAGCAGGGGUAAGAGGCCAGGGCGAAGAGGCGGCGCGGGCAUCGGUCCAACAGCUCACAGCUUCGUAUUCAGUGUCCUACGGGUGCUACCGCUGCGGCUUCUUUAGCCGGCCUCCAUCCUUACAAAGGUCGGGGAGACAGAGUACGGUCGGACUUGUUGAUUUUGGUGCCGCAGUUGCCAAAGUCUAGCUUCGUUCCUUAGAGUGUCAUGAAGAAUCUCUUCCUGGGACUGAAGCUUUUUUGCUUGGACAAGAAGGAAAUUCUGGUGUUGGUUUUAUUGCUAGAUAUGGUAAGAAGAAAAUGGUAAGCUUAAAACUAUUUGUUGUCGCAUGUAAAAUACUUAGGCAUUUAGAACUCUACACUGCCAGUCCAGAUGUAUUAGUAUACAAUGCCAUGCAUGGCGCACAAAUUGCAUUUACUUGCAUUAUCAUAAUUUAUUGAAAUGGUGUGUAUUUUUUACUCUUUGUGACCCUCGAAAGGAGACUUAUUGCCAUAUUUGAUUGAUGGUAAGAAUUAUUCACUAAUUUUUCGAACGAUAAAUAUUCAAAUAGAUCAAUCAAUUGAAUUGUCACCAAAUAGAAUCUUGUCAUUCUUGAAAAUCCAACUGGUCUUUUCUCUCAGCCUGCAAAACAAUUCCUCUUGGAUUGUUCUUUAUGCUAUCAUAUACCUCACACUGGCCCAGUUUCUUUUGUUGCAUCAGACAAAGAUGUAAAAGGUACAUAAUUUCUCUUCAUGUUAACUUGAUGUUCAAUAGAUUAUUAUCAUAUUUAGGCUCCUAGAACUUUUCAUUUCCUGUAGUAAUUGCUAUUGCUAUUUCGCAUAAAACUGAAAUUUCUAUCAAAAUAUUUUGCCUAGGUCCUUAGAGAGUGUUACUUUUAUUCAUAUUUUAAUCUUGAUAUUGGAGCAACUCAAAUGUUGCAUACACAGUUUUAGUUAAAAUAUUUCUCUUCUGUACUUGAAUAUACAGACUGCCAAGUAGUCACUGUUUUAGUGCAUUAGUGGUCAUUUUCCCCCUCACUUUGGUCUGGUGUGGAGCGACCAUCAGCGCCAUGUCCUGAUGCGCGGCUAUGACCGUCGUUGCCUGCUGCUAAUGCAGUCGCUGCGUGUGCCGCGCCCGAGCCGCAUGGCCGCUGCGUUGCUUCCAUGCUUUCUGUCGAACGGGCAGAUCCGCUGUUAGCAGCUUCGUGCCGUGCCACCGACAGGCGAGCCUUCAAGUACGAAGGUAACUUACAGGUGUCAACAAAGGGUAAACACAAUGCGGAUAGAUCCAUUUGUCCGACAAUGAUGUAACUUUUCCCUUUCCUCCUUGGUAAGAGAGUGAUCUUAGCUGGAGUACUGGACACGAUGUAGUGAAACAAUAUGCCAAUGUCACUGAGCUGUCAAAAUAGUAUCUUUAAGAUACAUACGGAAGCACUGAGUUUACAUUAUAGCACAAUUUGUUCUCAAUCUUGCCCUGCACAUUUAUUCUUAUAUAGCUUAUUACAUUCUUCGAUUGGAUUUUGUAGUUAAAGAAAUACAAAGUCACACGGUCGCGCAUACAAAUAGUACAUCUUCCAUGAGAAAACAUUCUGCCUAUUUCUUUCGGCUAUUUCAUUCUGAAGUUUUGAGAGACAAUUGGUCCUUCCAUAGGUCCUAUUUUCUUUUUAGAGCUUACUUGAGGAUUUAAUUAUUUAUUUGUCUUGAUUAAUGUCGUUAAUUAUGUAAUAUCAUAUUGGUCAUUACAGAUUUCUGGGGAUCAUCUGGGAAAGAGGAGCCUGAAAGACUGCCUCCACGCCAUGUAUCAGACAAAAAUCCAGAGAAAUUUGUCCUUAUUGCAAUUAAAUUGUCACGGAUCAGAAAGGACAGAAAAUUGUAAGCAUGUCAAUGAUUUUAUAGUUGAAGGUUUAGCCCUCUGCUCACUCUUGUGUAGACACAUGAGUUUUUCAGCGUUGAAAAUCUUGCUUUGAUCUGAUGCACGGAACAAUAGUGGAGGAAUGCCAUCUCGCUACAACCUUCAUGCCCAGAAUACCAACAUUCUCCGUGUGUAACCUACAUUGGUAUGAGGUUAAUUGUGCAUUAACGUUUGGAUCUGAAGUUUCCAGUGUAUACAAAGUUUUGAUUUGAAGUUUCCAUUAACAUGGAAUUUACUGGAAAAAGGCGAAGGGUGCAACAAAGCAAUCUAAGCUUCCAGUGGCGCAAAUGGUGCAAGCUGUGAUUGGAGACCAAUCCUGGUGGUGUCAGUAGAUGGCAGUCGGCCAGAGGACUGCUUGGACUUUGUUGCCAACAAUCGACACUCACCGUGUUUGUGUUUCGGAUGAUGCAGACCGUGCUGUUACAGUAUCACCGCCAAAAAUUAUCAUCAACCAGCCACCAUAUGGCGUGGCUCUAGGGCAUUUUUUGUCUAGCGGUGGCAGAGAUAUGCCAUCUCUGCAGCUACUAACAAUUAUGUGCUUAUUUAGAUUAUUCAGCCUUCUGUGGAAACUGCAGUGGAUGCUGCUACAACCUCCAUUUGUCUUAGGACCAGCACUGAUGCCAAGAAACCAAAGCAGUGGCUGGUCUGCAUGCAUAAGCAGGCCAUUUUCUGUACAACUUUAUCUUCAUGGAUGGUUCUUGUUACGGGCUUGGCUCACAGGCCCAGGUGAAGAGCUUAUCAGUAUCUUAAUAAUGCUCGCUACCUCAACAUCUGCUGGUAUUCAGCGUGCCUUCCUUACUACAUCGUUGAGAUGAGCUCACCGCCUUGACGCAUGCUACUACUUCAUGUGGGUUCUCUGCUAAGCUGUCAAGCUGAUGUGAUGUCUUUACUACCUGCCUAUAAACUGCUGUUGGACUUGUAUUCUCUGCUGCAGCAGCGACCUGAUGUGUAGCUGUGUAAAUAGCUAUGUAGAAAGCUAUUUUGUGUAAGUGCACGCUGCUCUAUAAGCAUGCUUUUAUAAGUAGAUCCUUUGUGACCAUCGUUCAGCCAGAUCCUAUGCCAAGAAUAUGGGCUGAACUUCAUCUGCACUUUAUCAACUUCUAUGGAUGGCAUGAAUUAUUGCCCAGGAAGACUUUGUGUCGAUAUGCUUUGAUUUCCAUCAGUUUCUCCUCUACAA